rnacentral:lncRNA from 1 species
AUGCUCCAGCAUGACUGGAGAUUGGGUGGCUUGAUCCCACCAAGGGUGUUGGCAGAGCAAAAGAAGGAGAAGAAAGGAGGGAGAAGAAGACAGAGUGAAAUGAGGGGAAGGGUUUGGGGAGAGAAGAGAGAGAGAGAAAGAAAGAGAGAGAGAGAGAGAGAGAGAGAGAGAGAGAGAGAAAGGGAGAGAGAGAGAGAGAGAGAGAGAGAGAGAGAGAGAGAGAGAGAGAGAGAGAGAGAAAGGGAGAGAGGGAGAGAGAGAGAGAGAAAGGGAGAGAGAGAGAGGUGCUGCUCAGGUGAUGCUGCUUACAGCCAGUCGGAACUUGCACUUGGUAAAGAUGAUGAUCUAGUCUGAGGCACGGCUUGGUAUGUCCCCCCUCCAAGGGAGUCCUGGAAGGACAGUUCUCAGCUGUCUAUGCUCAUGAGGGUUAUGACUUGUUCUAGUUUGUAGGCUAGUUUCUGCUUCCCACACUGGUCAUCAUGGUCCAGAGGUCCAAGAAUCUGUUGAAAAAGGACAAAGGAGAUGGGUUACCUGCCAGUGCACACCUUUGGAGGCUGAGGGAUACUCUUAUAGGCAGUGCAUGUAGACAUACAUCCAAGGUAUUAGAACAUACAUAUCUAUCCAUGUAUGUGUAUAUGUGAACACACCCAUGCAGCAUGUCAGGAUAGGUGAGCAAAUUCUAUUACUGGUGCAGUGGCUUGCAGAAGUGAGGUAUGGGUAUUCUGGCAUAUGUUCAUGUCCACAUACCAUGCCCCUAUGUGUAUGAAUAUGUGAAUAUAAUUGUGGGAACAUACACUUAGGUCUAUGAAGACUGGUGUGCAAUCUUGUAGAUACAGGAGAAAGUAAGCAGAGAGAAAAGCUUUAUGGAAGCCAGUUGAACAGAGUGGCUGCAGUACCUAGGGCAAACAGACUGGCCCACUUCCCAAGAACCAUUUCUGAAGGAGAGUCAAAGAGAGGCAGCCAUUCCCUGGGAUGAGCCUUUGCUUUGUGCCUUUGCUGAGAGAGGCUGGACUGUGACAGAAAGAAUACUGUCCACCACUCUGGAUAGAGCCCUGGUUCUGCUUCUUAAAAGCUGUGAGGCCUUGAGCAACUCAAAUAACCUGUCUGAGUCUCAGGCACCUCAUCUGAAUAAAAGGGAAGGCACUGUACCA